GACUCUUUGAGGGAUGAUCUUGGUCUCAGCUACCAA
rnacentral:sRNA from 1 species